GCAUCAGUGGGGUAGUGGUAACCUGGGUCGUUGCCAUAAUCGGGUGUAAAGCAUAACUCGACCCGCCGGGGGUUCGAUUCCCCCCUGAUGCA